GCGAAAGCCUCGCUAAUACCGCAUAAGUUUGUUUGGACUCCGGUCUGAACAAGGAAAGCUAGGUAGCAAUAUCCGGCACUCGAGGAGGAGCCUGCGUCGCAUCAGCUAGUUGGUGGGGUAACGGCCUACCAAGGCGAAGACGCGUAGCUGGUCUGAGAGGAUGAUCAGCCACACUGGGACUGAGACACGGCCCAGACUCCUACGGGAGGCAGCAGUGGGGAAUAUUGGACAAUGGGCGCAAGCCUGAUCCAGCCACGCCGCGUGAGUGAUGAAGGCCUUCGGGUCGUAAAGCUCUGUGGGGAGGGACGAACCGCCGGACGUUCAUAGCGUACGGCAUGACGGUACCUCCUUAGCAAGCACCGGCUAACUUCGUGCCAGCAGCCGCGGUAA
rnacentral:rRNA from 1 species